rnacentral:tRNA from 1 species
UGGCUCAGACGGUAGAGCAUGGUGCUUCCAACGCCAAGGUCAUGGGUUCUGGGGUCACCCAU